AAAUGAGAUGUAAGCUUCUGAGUCUGCAGCUCAGAGGUCAGUGUCCCACCAGGAACAGGCGAGUCUGACAGCUCAUGACGAAUGUUUGUUAUUGUCCAGGACUUUCCCUGUUAAAACCUGCCCUUCCUGCCACAACGAUAAACUCGGUAACUUGGCUACAGCUAUAGAAGCGAAGUUAGUCAACACGUCUUCCUGGCAAAAUAAAUAAGCAAGCAAAAGCUGACAAAGUCGACAAAAUGUUCAGCAGGUUUCUUCGGUGGUCAGAUCUUUCUGAACAGAUGCCUUUGCUGGCUUUGCAGUCUGAAAUGCGCAUGCGUAUUCGCAUAUUCUUGAAUAAGAGUAAUUUUAUGUGUCUGGUCGUCGAUGAAAUUGCGGUUAGUUGAAUAAUAGAUGUAUAGUUAAUUUUCUAGCAAGCUUAAAUAUCUUCAGACAUCAUACUUUAUUUGCUGGUCUCUAAGUGGUGAUGAUGAUGAUGAUGAUAAUAAUAAAGAAAUUAGUUUCCACUUGACUCUGCAAUCCUGAUGUCCUCCUUGAUUAUUGCAGAACCUCCAGAUAGCAGCUGACUCAGGGCCGAAUCCGCCUCCAAACCGGCAGAUCCGUGUAACAGUCACGCCCGUUUUACUGCCCCGUUCCAGAUACAUGCAUGUAGUCUGUGUGCACUCAGGAGGGGGCGUGAGCCUCCAUCAGGCGGCGGAAUCAUAACAGUUCUGGCCCGGACUCGUCGGAACGAGCGCGCGAAAUGUUUCUUUUUUUUUCUUUCGAACCGGUUCAUACCGGAGCAGAAGUCAGGCGGCGGAAUCGUAGUUGUUCUGGCCCGGACUCGUCGGAACGAGCGCGCGAACUGUUUCUUUCUUUGGAUCAGUUCGGACUGGAAGCUUUGUGGAAAGAGUUUAUAACGGUUCAAUCUUUUCUUCACCCCUGGCUGAGAGCCCGGGAUUAAUAGGAGGCUGUACAGAAGAACCAAGCUGCUAGCAGCGCAUCGGACAACGAGAUUAACCAGCACGCCAUCCGCUGGUUCAACCUGGCCUCUGACCAUGGAGGUGGCUGCAAAGAACGUGCCAUGGCCAGAGAGGCAUUAACUGUGAAAUGAACACAUCGGCCAUCCCCCACUCUUCCACUACUGAUGAUUUGUUGGGUGUCAUGUGAGGGUUAUGGCAUUCCCACUUCUCCACUUGCCUCAUCAGUGUUUCCCGUAAAGCCACCAAACAACGUGUACAAACAUUUUACAGUUUUUUCUGGGUUUCACAUGACUAGUUAGAGUUGGAUAUUGUAUUUUGGCUAUAAAAUCUUUGUUAUUUAUCAUGGUCAUGGAAAAUGGUUAAAAUAUAAAUGGCUGGCAGUAAUCAUCAAUCAAGACAAACUUAUCGCUUGUCGCUAAUUAAAACAUUAUCUUGUGUGUUUAGGCUGUAGAAUCUCGUGUGUCUCCUGGCUUUAGCUUUAUAUGUAGAGUAUGGUAUCAUGAGUGUGGUAUAUAUCUUCUCAUCUCUCUCAGUGAGAAAGCAAAUCUUACUUUCUUACUAUCAUCAUUACUAAUGGUACACUACACUAUGCAAGACUGAUAGCAAUGUCAAUGUAUUGAGCUUUUUAACUAAGCCACACUAUUGCUAUUAUUAGAAUUUAAUACUUCUGCAUUCAUUUAAAAAUAACACCUGUGUCAUAGGUGUGUGGUUACUGUACGGUUACUAGAAACUAAUUGUCACCUGCAAGUCAACUGGAGUGAAGUUUCUUGUUCCUACAGUUGUUAAAGACAGAAAUGAGCUGUAAAAUGUGUUUAUUAGAUUGAAUGUUAGUUUGGCAAUUAUCUACUUUGUUUUAAGUUUCUGUCCUCUCUUUUUAUCUCGACCAUUUCAAAUAAAAUUUAAAAUGUGUCACUCAUCCGUUCUAUCACUUUCUUUGUUGAAAUUCUGUGUAGGACAAAUAGAAACAGACUUUGUAACAGAGUUUAACAGUAGUUUUGACUGUCCAUGCUUUUUAAAUUCAAAAGAAAAAAGUAAUCGAGUUUAAAAUGCAAGGAAAAAGAAAACGAAAGUAAAACAAGAAAUCUUAGUGUACCUUAGUGAUAUACAAGUCACUAUUUGUUAUACAUUAUAUAGACCAGCUCCUGCCAUAA